AAACUGCCCGCUUCCAGCAAGAUUGCUUUUCAGUGUUUGUGCAAAGUUGGACACUCGCCACAGUGAACGUGUCCGGACACCUUUCACGGUCACAGAGAAGGGUCUGCAGCACGAGGUGUUUCAUAGAUGAAAAUUCAAAUUGUAAUCCUGGCCUACCGGAAGCAGCUUACGAAACGGAGCAGUAUGAGCACACAUUUCUGCAGCCUCAUUACGCUCUCCUUUGGACUUAACCGACGGUAGAGUUACAGAGAGAUUAAUAAAUGCCUUAGAAGAGGGGAUUUUCAUGGUAAUGUGACCUGUCUUCACGCUCCAUUUGUCAUCUCCCAAUUGAUGUAUAUAAUCUUGGUUGAGCAGAUAGAUAAUGGAGGAAACACGUAAAGUGUUGAACGCUUGAGCAACAGAUCUGAAAAGAACAGGUGUGUGCUGAGCUUUGCCAUUUGCUGGAACCCUUCUGAAGAGCAUGGUAUGUCCAGUUAUUGCCUAGAGCUUGGUAAGUCUCCUGGAACAUUUAAGUGCUGUGAUGUUGCAACCUGAGCUUCUGCCCUAAUACCCUGCAAUUUAUUCAGUGGAGCUGGACAAGUAACUUACGGCCCUGUUCCCCAAGAUGCCUCAUUUACCCCCUCCCAGAAUUUGCAACUUCAGCUCUGCUGAUUGGCAGUGUGUAGUCCAGCUGGGGAGGAGAAGGGGAGAACCACUCAGGGUGAGCUAACCAUGAAACUCUCCGUGACAUUAACUGGGUCCAUGGGAGACUGCUACAGAGGACUUGGACUUUGAGUCUUAGGAAGGGGUAGAGUGAACCACUUCCCAGUGUCCACCUGACCCCAUGCAGGACAACAAGGCAUGGUGUCAUUGCCUGUGCCCACCUUUUCUACCUGGCCAACGGAGCUGGUGCUGUAGAGCCUGGUGUGCCUGGCUCAAGGGAGCACUGAGCUUGGGUAGAGCUGGUAGGUGGUACUUUUGUUUAAAGAGUAAUUAGGAACAAAA
rnacentral:lncRNA from 1 species